rnacentral:rRNA from 1 species
AGAGUUUGAUCCUGGCUCAGGACGAACGCUGGCGGCACGCUUAACACAUGCAAGUCGAACGAGAGAAGAGGAGCUUGCUUUUCUGAUCUAGUGGCGGACGGGUGAGUAACACGUGAGCAAUCUGCCUUUCAGAGGGGGAUACCGAUUGGAAACGAUCGUUAAUACCGCAUAACAUAAUUGAACCGCAUGAUUUGAUUAUCAAAGAUUUAUCGCUGAAAGAUGAGCUCGCGUCUGAUUAGCUAGUUGGUAAGGUAACGGCUUACCAAGGCGACGAUCAGUAGCCGGACUGAGAGGUUGAUCGGCCACAUUGGGACUGAGACACGGCCCAGACUCCUACGGGAGGCAGCAGUGGGGAAUAUUGCACAAUGGAGGAAACUCUGAUGCAGCGAUGCCGCGUGAGGGAAGAAGGUUUUAGGAUUGUAAACCUCUGUCUUCAGGGACGAAAAAAGACGGUACCUGAGGAGGAAGCUCCGGCUAACUACGUGCCAGCAGCCGCGGUAAUACGUAGGGAGCGAGCGUUGUCCGGAAUUACUGGGUGUAAAGGGAGCGUAGGCGGGAUCGCAAGUCAGAUGUGAAAACUAUGGGCUUAACCCAUAAACUGCAUUUGAAACUGUGGUUCUUGAGUGAAGUAGAGGUAAGCGGAAUUCCUAGUGUAGCGGUGAAAUGCGUAGAUAUUAGGAGGAACAUCAGUGGCGAAGGCGGCUUACUGGGCUUUAACUGACGCUGAGGCUCGAAAGCGUGGGGAGCAAACAGGAUUAGAUACCCUGGUAGUCCACGCCGUAAACGAUGAUUACUAGGUGUGGGGGGACUGACCCCUUCCGUGCCGCAGCAAACGCAAUAAGUAAUCCACCAGGGGAGUACGACCGCAAGGUUGAAACUCAAAGGAAUUGACGGGGGCCCGCACAAGCAGUGGAGUAUGUGGAUUAAUUCGAAGCAACGCGAAGAACCUUACCAGGUCUUGACAUCGUAUGCAUAGCUCAGAGAUGAGUGAAAUCUCUUCGGAGACAUAUAGACAGGUGGUGCAUGGUUGUCGUCAGCUCGUGUCGUGAGAUGUUGGGUUAAGUCCCGCAACGAGCGCAACCCUUACUGUUAGUUGCUACGCAAGAGCACUCUAGCAGGACUGCCGUUGACAAAACGGAGGAAGGUGGGGAUGACGUCAAGUCAUCAUGCCCCUUAUGACCUGGGCCUCACACGUACUACAAUGGCUGUCAACAGAGGGAAGCAAAGCCGCGAGGUGGAGCGAACCCCUAAAAGCAGUCUUAGUUCGGAUUGUAGGCUGCAACCCGCCUACAUGAAGUCGGAAUUGCUAGUAAUCGCAGAUCAGCAUGCUGCGGUGAAUACGUUCCCGGGCCUUGUACACACCGCCCGUCACGCCAUGGGAGUCGGUAACACCCGAAGCCUGUAGUCUAACCGCAAGGAGGACGCAGUCGAAGGUGGGAUCGAUGACUGGGGUGAAGUCGUAACAAGGUA